GACGAACGCUGGCGGCGUGCUUAAUACAUGCAAGUCGAGCGAGGUUACUGCGACAGAUUCCUUCGGGAUGAAGUUGCUUUAACCUAGCGGCGGACGGGUGAGUAACGCGUGGGCAACCUACCCUAAAGUCUGGGAUAACAGCGGGAAACUGCUGCUAAUACCGGAUAGCUUUAACCGGGGGCAUCUUCGGUUAAAGAAAGAAGCGAUUCGCUUUAGGAUGGGCCCGCGUCCCAUUAGCUGGUUGGUGAGGUAACGGCUCACCAAGGCGACGAUGGGUAGCCGGCCUGAGAGGGUGAACGGCCACACUGGGACUGAGACACGGCCCAGACUCCUACGGGAGGCAGCAGUAGGGAAUAUUGCGCAAUGGAGGGAACUCUGACGCAGCGACGCCGCGUGAGCGAUGAAGGUCUUCGGAUCGUAAAGCUCUGUCCUUGGGGAAGAAGGGAGCCGUAAGGCUUCUUGACGGUACCCAUGGAGGAAGCCCCGGCUAACUACGUGCCAGCAGCCGCGGUAAUACGUAGGGGGCAAGCGUUGUCCGGAAUUAUUGGGCGUAAAGGGUGCGUAGGCGGCCCUUUAAGUCAGAUGUGAAAGCCCACGGCUUAACCGUGGGACUGCAUUUGAAACUGGAGGGCUUGAGUGUCGGAGAGGGCAGUGGAAUUCCCAGUGUAGCGGUGGAAUGCGUAGAUAUUGGGAGGAACACCAGUGGCGAAGGCGACUGCCUGGACGAUAACUGACGCUGAGGCACGAAAGCUAGGGGAGCAAACAGGAUUAGAUACCCUGGUAGUCCUAGCCGUAAACGAUGGGUACUAGGUGUAGGAGGUUUCGAUACCUUCUGUGCCGCAGUUAACGCAAUAAGUACCCCGCCUGGGGAGUACGUGCGCAAGCAUGAAACUCAAAGGAAUUGACGGGGGCCCGCACAAGCGGUGGAGCAUGUGGUUUAAUUCGAAGCAACGCGAAGAACCUUACCAGGUCUUGACAUCCCUUGACAGCCUCAGAGAUGAGGUAUCUCUUCGGAGCAAGGAGACAGGUGGUGCAUGGUUGUCGUCAGCUCGUGUCGUGAGAUGUUGGGUUAAGUCCCGCAACGAGCGCAACCCUUGCCUUUAGUUGCCAUCAUUAAGUUGGGGACUCUAGAGGGACUGCCGGUGACAAAUCGGAGGAAGGUGGGGAUGACGUCAAAUCAUCAUGCCCCUUAUGACCUGGGCUACACACGUGCUACAAUGGUCUGUACAGAGGGAAGCGAAAGGGCGACCUGGAGCGAAUCCCAGAAAGCAGAUCUCAGUUCGGAUUGUAGGCUGCAACUCGCCUACAUGAAGUCGGAAUCGCUAGUAAUCGCAGGUCAGCAUACUGCGGUGAAUACGUUCCCGGGCCUUGUACACACCGCCCGUCACACCACGAAAGUUUGCAACACCCGAAGCCGGUGGCCUAACCGUAAGGAGGGAGCCGUCGAAGGUGGGGCAGAUGAUUGGGGUG
rnacentral:rRNA from 1 species